rnacentral:rRNA from 1 species
GACGAACGCUGGCGGCGUGCUUAACACAUGCAAGUCGAACGGAAAGGCCUGCUUUCCCUUGUGGAUUGCGGGUACUCGCGUGGCGAACGGGUGAGUAACACGUGAGUGAUCUGCCCCCAACUUGGGUAUAAGCCUGGGAAACUGGGUCUAAUUCCCGAUAGCACUGCAGGGUGGUGCCGGGGGUGGAAAACGAUUUUCUAGUGGUUGGGGAUGAGCUCGCGGCCUAUCAGGUUGGUGGUGGGGUAAUGGCCUACCAAGGGGGCGACGGGAAGCCGGCCUGGGAGGGUGGACGGACAGAUUGGGACUGAGACACGGCUCAGACUGCUACGGGAGGCAGAAGUCGGGAAGAGUGCGCAAUGGGCGGAAGCCUGAAGCGGCGGCGCCGCGUGGGGGAUGACGGCGUGCGGGUGGUAAACUCCCUUGGACCGCGAGGAAGCCACCUGGUUGGAAGGGUGGUGACGGUAGUGGUAGAAGAAGCACCGGCUAACUACGUG